rnacentral:rRNA from 1 species
GUCUAUAGCCAUACCACCUGAACGCACCCGAUCUCAUCUGAUCUCACAAGCUAAGCAGGGUUGAUCCUGGUUAGUACUUGGAUUGGAGAAAAAAACAAACCCAUUUUCUGAAAAGAAAAAAACAAACCACUAGGCU